UGGGGAAUCUUGCGCAAUGCACGAAAGUGUGACGCAGCAACGCCGCGUGGGGGAAGACGGCCUUCGGGUUGUAAACCCCUUUCAGUUGGGACGAAGCCGAGCUAGUUAAUAGCUAGUUUCGGUGACGGUACCUUCAGAAGAAGCCCCGGCUAACUACGUGCCAGCAGCCGCGGUAAUACGUAGGGGGCUAGCGUUGUCCGGAAUUAUUGGGCGUAAAGCGCGUGUAGGCGGUUCGAUAAGUCUGCUGUAAAAGUCGGGGGCUCAACCCUCGAAAGCCGGUGGAUACUGUCGGACUAGAGUACGGAAGAGGCGAGUGGAAUUCCUGGUGUAGCGGUGAAAUGCGCAGAUAUCAGGAGGAACACCAAUUGCGAAGGCAGCUCGCUGGGACGUUACUGACGCUGAGACGCGAAAGCGUGGGGAGCAAACAG
rnacentral:rRNA from 1 species